GGGGGGGGUAGAAAGAUACAGUGACAGACAGAGGGGGGGGAAGAGAACAACAGAUAAGAUUCUGCCUCAACAGUUGCUGUCCAAAUGAGAAAGGUAGAGCAGGGACAGUGAAGAGGAGACAUUGUCAGGGAAUAUUAUAGAGGAAUAUUUCUAUGCUACUUAAAACCGGAAAUGAGACGGUGACAGGGAGGAGAGAGAGAGAGAGAGAGAGAAGCUAAGGUGAGGAGCAAGGUAGAACGGACGGAGCAGGAGAAUGAGAGGCACACGGGCGUGUGCUUAUACGCACCACCUCUUCCUGUGUCACAAGGUUCUGCAAUCCUUUUUCUCACACAGACUAUAAAAAAAGUUAUGCAAAGUCUGUCUCCGCUCCAAGAGCUACCAGACACCCACUCCCUUCAAAGGACUGGGCUCUCUCUAUCGCUCCAUUUCUCUCUCUCACACACGCGCACUCACACACACGCCACCCCUCACUCCUGGCACAGAGAAGCCACGACCACUGGAGAGACCAUACAAACCUACUUCUCUAGUAAUUCACCUAGCCAUCAACAGACGCUAAGCCCAGGAUGUGGACUCUGCUCUUGGGGCUCACCUUUGGAUUACUGGCCUCCAUCAGGUCGGCUUCGGCUCAAGUUCCCAACACCCUGGAGACAUAAGAGACAACAUGACGCUUCCACACUUCACAUCUUUCACAACUGAUGUUUGUGCCAAUCACCAUGGUAAUCCUUUAUCAACAAACACUUCAGGGAAUAGAUGGUGAUUUUUCUUGUGUGUUCAUUAUGCAUUUAAUGGACAGUAUCUAAAAAAACUGAGUACACCCCUCACAUUUCUGUAAAUAUUUGAGAAUUUCUUUUCAUGUGACAACACUGAAACAACAAUUUGGACAUUUUUACUUAGGGGUGUACUCACUUUUGUUGCCCGCGGUUUAGCCAUUGGCAGUGUGUUAUGUUAUUUUGAGGGGACAGUAAAUGUACACUUAUAUAAGCUGUACACUCACUACUUUACAUUGUAGCAAAGGGUCAUUUCUUCAGUGUUGUCAC
ensembl:lncRNA